rnacentral:lncRNA from 1 species
AUAGCCAAAAGAAACACAACUAGCACUCAAUUCAACAUCUAAUCUAACAUGAGCACACUCUCUUAUUACACUCUAGCUUCUCUAGGCCUAUCUCAACUCUUCUUGCUCUUACACUCAUCAUCAAGCAUCCACACAUUCAAAUCAACCAACUCUCACAUUCAUUAAGCAUAAAACAUCAGGUGAAUUCUUGCAAAUGGUCAGUUGGUCCAAGUCAUUUGGUUGGGUAAGCGAAGGCUUUUAUUCAAGUGAGUCAAGAGGUUCAAAAUAUAUGAUCUUUAAGGUGGUUUACUCUCGAAACAAGUAGCCUUGACAUUGCACAUAAUAUAUCUAAGAAAGAGAUCAACUCAUGCAUACAAUGCUCAAUCUCCAUUGUUCUACCCUUUUCCCAGACAUACAAUUACACAAUCAUUCCCAAAUGUCAAACCCAACUCACAUCUCUCACCAAAAGAUCCUAAGAACUUUAACUCCUUCUCUUUGAAAUCUACAAGGGAUUUUCCACAACCUCAAAACAUUUAUUAACUCCUAACAAUUUUUGCUAGCCCCCUUUUUCUUUCUUUUCUCUUUUUUUUUUUCUUUUUUCGUUUUUUCCUUUUUUUUUUAGGUGGGGGCCAAGACUUUACAUAACUUGAGCUAGAGGUUUUUCUACUUAUCCCAAUAAGACAAUUCACUUAAACACAAAGAGUCAUUUAUUUUCCUUUUUCAUUGCUCCCAAAUCAUAAUCACAACACUCACCCCCCACCUAUAGCUAGACAAUAGAGUGCCCAAUCUAGCAAGAAUGAAGAUCAAACAUUGUCGUUUCCGAUACUCUUAAUAUUAUGUGCUUGUAAGACUUUCCGAAGAAGGCCUCACUCAUCAAUCAAUGAAGGCUUAAAAGGAGGAAGGGAUUUUGGGGAGAGGUCUACCACUAGAGAUUGUCAAAAAGAUUGGCAUAAAGGAUGCGACAACUCAAGUGUGUAUAUCCAUGAUUCAGUACACAAGGGACCAUGAGAAAGAUGCAUUAAGUUUGUUCAGUUCAAAUAAGGGUGUAGUUGGCUUUAAAGACUGAGUUUCAGCAAUCAACAAGUUUCAGGAAGAGUUUUCAAGGCUCGAAGCAUACAAGUCUUUUUGAGAGGUGCAUAAGCUACUCAGGUGCAAAGUAGUGUUUUUUACAAGGCAUUUAAAAUCAUUGCUCCCAAUGCAAGUGAAUGCAACCUAUAUGCUCUAGACUCUCCUA